CCGUCUUCGGAUGGUGGACAGUGGCGCACGGGUGAGUAACACGUGGGGACCUGCCUGAUAGUAAGGAAAAACAGUUGGAAACGACUGCUAAUACCUUAUACGCCCUUCGGGGGAAAGAUUUAUCGCUAUCAGAUGGACCCGCGCUAGAUUAGAUAGUUGGUGGGGUAAUGGCCUACCAAGUCUACGAUCUUUAGCUGGUUUUAGAGGAUGAUCAGCAACACUGGGACUGAGACACGGCCCAGACUCCUACGGGAGGCAGCAGUGGGGAAUCUUAGACAAUGGGCGAAAGCCUGAUCUAGCCAUGCCGCGUGAGUGAUGAAGGUCUUAGGAUCGUAAAGCUCUUUCGCUAGGGAUGAUAAUGACAGUACCUAGUAAAGAAGCCCCGGCUAACUCCGUGCCAGCAGCCGCGGUAAUACGGAGGGGGCUAGCGUUGUUCGGAAUUACUGGGCGUAAAGCGUACGUAGGCGGAUCAGAAAGUAUGGGGUGAAAUCCCAGGGCUUAACCCU
rnacentral:rRNA from 1 species